rnacentral:lncRNA from 1 species
GAUGGCCCAGGCGAUCAUGCCAGGUUUGGAAUGCGUCAACAUUCUGAAAAAUUACUUUGUAUGCAACAUGUUCCAUGGGUUUGAUGUACGUAUAGUACAAACCAGACGAUAGAGAAGGAAUUUUCUCAUGUACCUUUUUGCCAUAUCCGUGAUCUUUAGUAAAGAGUAAAUACUCCUCUUUGUUGUCUUCAUGGGUUUCAAUAUGAAAACCAUUCUUACGGAUAUCUCGAUAACUGAUCAGGGUACGUGAUGAGUC